ACAUGUAUGUACAAUUGAUGGAAGAGCAGUUCAUCAUUGCCUCGUUUUGAAUAACUGUUUGCUUCCUGCUCUUCUAUUCAAUUUGAGGUAUUACGUUUAAAAGGCGAUGAAAUUAUUUUCAACUAGCGUGAUGUAGAUGUAAUAGCUAAAGAAGAUUCUGAUUGACUGGUGGCAGAAGGGGUAUGAAUAUAAAGUGGCAUUAAGGCCUUGCAGACAGACUUAACAAUAACAUGCUGAAGUUGCAAUAACAGUUUGACGAAGACCCACAUGUAAUCCCAUAUUGACGGUUGUAGAACACGUACCAACAGAUUUCACUUUGGGAUAUAAUGGCAAGUUGGGAUGAGAAACUUCUUAAAGCUGCAGUGGAUGGGAAUAUAAAAGAGGUAGAAUUAUGUGUAAAGAACGGAGCUAACUUGGAAUGUAGAAAUUCUGU